CAGCGCCGCGGUAAUACGAAGGGUGCAAGCGUUACUCGGAAUUACUGGGCGUAAAGCGUGCGUAGGUGGUGGUUUAAGUCCGUUGUGAAAGCCCUGGGCUCAACCUGGGAAUUGCAGUGGAUACUGGGUCACUAGAGUGUGGUAGAGGAUAGUGGAAUUUCCGGUGUAGCAGUGAAAUGCGUAGAGAUCGGAAGGAACAUCUGUGGCGAAGGCGACUAUCUGGGCCAACACUGACACUGAGGCACGAAAGCGUGGGGAGCAAACAGGAUUAGAUACCCGCGUAGUCCCUGUCUCUUAUACA
rnacentral:rRNA from 1 species